AUGCCAGCGGUCAACUCCAACAUACCCGCGCAUGCGCCGCUCGAUGAGAUCGACUGGGCAACGCACACGGAGUUGCUGCGCGCCCAGGCGCGCUUCAAGAAACAAGCAGAUCGCCACCGCACCGAGCGCGCCUUCGACGUGGGCAAGCAAGUCCUCCUCAAGCUUCAACCGUACGCCCAGUCCUCCGUCGCCAACCGCCCUUGUCGCAAGCUGGCGUACAAGUUCUUCGGACCCUUCACAGUGACGGAGCGCAUCGGCACUUUGGCGUAUCGCCUGAACUUGCCGCCGGACAGACGCAUCCACCCAGUCUUCCACGUCUCGCAACUCAAGUCGUUUGUCCCCGACUACACUCUGGUCUUCGCUGAGCUGCCCAAGAUACCAGACCUCACGGCCGCGGACCGCGUGCCGAUCACCAUUUUGGACCGCCGCAUGAUGAAGAAAGGAGACGCCCCAGUCGUCCAAGUUUAGGUGCAGUGGAGCACCAUGCCGCCGUCGUCUGCGACCUGGGAAGACUACUACGUGCUACGGCAGCGUUACCCGGACGCGCCCCUUUGGACAGAGGAAGAUCAAGCUGCUCAAGAGGGGGCAAAUGUCACGCCUGCAGAUCAGCCUGCAGCGGACUAA
rnacentral:rRNA from 1 species